rnacentral:rRNA from 1 species
UACGAAGGGGGCUAGCGUUGCUCGGAAUUACUGGGCGUAAAGGGAGCGUAGGCGGAAAACUAAGUCAGAGGUGAAAGCCCAGGGCUCAACCUUGGAAUUGCCUUUGAUACUGGUUUUCUUGAGUAUGGGAGAGGUUAGCGGAACUCCGAGUGUAGAGGUGAAAUUCGUAGAUAUUCGGAAGAACACCAGUGGCGAAGGCGGCUAUCUGGACCGGUACUGACGCUGAGGCGCGAAAGCGUGGGGAGCAAACAGG